rnacentral:rRNA from 1 species
GCGGAAGGAUCAUGUCGAAACCUGCAAAGCAGACCGCGAACUCGUUUAAAACAAACUCCGGGUGCCUCGGCGUGGGGGGAAGCCUCCCGUCGCGGCCCCUCCCCCUGCUCGGCGUGCGCGUCAGCGUGCCUCGGGUGGGCUAACAAAACCCCGGCGCGGGAUGCGCCAAGGAAAAAGAAUCAAGGAAGCGUUCCCCUCCCGCAGCCCCCGUUUGCGGUGCGCGUGGGAGGAGCGGAUGCCUCUUGAAUGUCACAACGACUCUCGGCAACGGAUAUCUCGGCUCUCGCAUCGAUGAAGAACGUAGCGAAAUGCGAUACUUGGUGUGAAUUGCAGAAUCCCGUGAACCAUCGAGUCUUUGAACGCAAGUUGCGCCCGAAGCCAUUAGGCCGAGGGCACGUCUGCCUGGGCGUCACGCAUCGCGUCGCCCCCCACCCGCUCCUUGAUAAUUCGGGGACGGGGAAGCUGGGGGCGGAUACUGGCCUCCCGUGCGCUCGCGCGCGGCUGACCCAAAUGCGAUCCCGCGGCGACUUACGUCACGACAAGUGGUGGUUGAACUCUCAACUCGCGCAAUUGUCGUGCCGGACAUCGUUGCCAGCAGGGGCAUCAUAAUGACCCGAUGCUUGCGCAAGCGCGCUCGCUUCCNAACGCGACCCC